rnacentral:rRNA from 1 species
CCUACGGGGGGCAGCAGUGGGGGAUAUUGCACAAUGGAGGGAACCCUGAUGCAGCGACGCCGCGUGGGUGAAGGAGUGCUUCGGCAUGUAAAGCUCUAUCGGCAGGGAAGAAGCAAGACGGUACCUGACUAAGAAGCCCCGGCUAACUACGUGCCAGCAGCCGCGGUAAUACGGAGGGGGCGAGCGUUAUCCGGAUUCCCUGGGUGUAAGGGGAGCGUAGACGGCCAUGCAAGCCAGGGGUGAAAGCCUGGGGCCCAACCGCGGGACUGCACUUGGAACUGCAUGGCUGGAGUGCGGGAGGGGCAGGCGGAAUUCCUGGUGUAGCGGUGAAAUGCGUAGAUAUCAGGAGGAACACCGGCGGCGAAGGCGGUCUGCUGGACUGCGACUGACGUUGAGGCUCGAAAGCGUGGGGAGCGAACAGGAUUAGAUACCCGGGUAGUC